UUCGGGGUGUAAAGUUCUUUUCUAUACGAGCAGUGCUAUAUAUAUGGAUAGUAUAUAUAGAGGGAUAGUAGUAUAGGAAUAAGCAACGGCUAACUCCGUGCCAGCAGCCGCGGUAACACGGGGGUUGCGAGCGUUGUCCGGAAUUACUAGGCGUAAAGGGCAGGUAGGCGGAUCUACGAGUUUUUUGUUAAAGGCUACGGCUCAACUGUAGUAGAGCAGGAGAUACUGUAGGUCUGGAAUGCGGUAGGGGAAGACAGAAUUCCUGGUGUAGCGGUGGAAUGCGCAGAGAUCAGGAGGAAUACCGAAGGCGAAGGCAGUCUUCUAGGCCGUAAUUGACGCUUAACUGCGAAGGUGUGGGGAUCAAACAGGAUUAGAUACCCUGGUAGUCCACACAGUAAACGAUAAUCACUAGAUGUCGGGUUCUAGAUGGAUUCGGUGUCGGAGCUAACGCGAUAAGUGAUUCGCCUGGGGAGUACGAUCGCAAGGUUGAAACUCAAAGGAAUUGACGGGGGCCCGCACAAGCGGUGGAGCAUGUGGUUUAAUUCGAGGCAACGCGAAGAACCUUACCCGGUUUUGACAUCCACGGGAGGCUUCAGAGAUGGAGCUGUGCCGGCGUAAGCUGGAGCCGUGAGACAGGUGCUGCAUGGCUGUCGUCAGCUCGUGUCGUGAGAUGUUGGGUUAAGUCCCGCAACGAGCGCAACCCUUGCCUUCAGUUACCAUCAUUAAGUUGGGGACUCUGGAGGGACCGCUGCGGUAACAACGCAGAGGAAGAUGGGGACGACGUCAAGUCAUCAUGGUCCUUAUGGCCGGGGCUACACACGUGCUACAAUGGCAGUUACAGAGGGAUGCGAUUCAGUAAUGAGGAGCGAAACUCAGAAAAGCUGCCGCAGUUCGGAUUGAGGUCUGCAACUCGGCCUCAUGAAGUCGGAAUCGCUAGUAAUCGCGCAACAUCAUGGCGCGGUGAAUACGUUCCCGGGCCUUGUACACACCGCCCGUCAAGUCAGCCGAGUGGAGUGCACCCGAAGGAGGUGAGCUAACCCGCAAGGGAGGCAGCUUUCGAAGGUGUGCUUCGCGAGGAGGACUAAGUCGUAACAAGGUAGCCG
rnacentral:rRNA from 1 species